GCAAUUUAAGUUAAAAAUUGUAAAAAAACAAAAAAACAAAACAAGACAGAAAUAAGGAAAAAACAUUUGGAACAAGACAAGGACAGGUGAUGUCAGAAUAAAGGCCGUAAGCAUAUUGCACUAUAUAGAAAGUGAGGAAUCUGUGUUUCAAGUUUCAAGUUUUGUGAGUGUUAAGUGUCCUGAUUGCCCAAGGAAAGAAGCUUUUGCUUUUGUUCAGUCUGUUGGUUCUGCACUUCAGGCUCCUGUACCUCCUACCAGAGGGCAGUAGGCUGAGCAAGUGGUGGCCGGGAUGGAGGUGGUCACAGAUGAUCUUUCUUGAUCUUGAGAUGCAUCGUGAGCUGGCAAUGUCAUCCAAGUAACUUGCUGUUCGGACCACCUUACACUUACAGAGUGGUGGAGUUUUAUGGUGGAACAACUUGGAACCGUCUCAAAGGAUUAUGGAGCGGUUGGUUGGUAUCGAGCACGCAGGUCAUGGCUCUACCCUGGUGGCCCCCCCUACAUACCCUACCUUAAGCUUGGAAGCCACUGGCCCAGCCGUUGACCAUCUGAAAAUGAGCAUUGGACGAGCUCGGGAACAAAUCUGUUCCUUGGCUGUGUUGGAAGCUUUUGGAAACAUGCGGAUGUGUCCGGUCCGAUUCAACAUGCAAAGUGUGAGAGCGCUGGCGGUCUGAGGAUUGGAGCCAUUGGAUAAUCUGAUUAGUUGUGUGCUGUUAGCUGGUUGAACCAGGGAUCAGAGCGGUGUGUGGGAGGGCCGGACUAGCGUUGGCAAUAGUCUUUGCGGUGUGUUUCAUUGCAACUUUUCUGCUGAACGGAUCAGACGAAAGGCAACAGAGUGGUCGGAUAAAGGCAGUUGGCCGUUUGUUUGUGUCUGGGCGGUGUGUGUGGGCCCCUUUAGUCUGACCAACGGGCAACUCGCUGGAUGCUUUGGCUCAGGUUGUUGCAAUUCCUCGCUAUUAAACGACUAGCGUUUGUCUGUUUUUUUUUAUUGAAAUAAAGAUCAGCAACCUAGCCCUACCUUGAUGGCUCUUGCUCGGCCUUGUGUUGCAUAUUGGCUGUUGUGUGUACGG
ensembl:lncRNA